CUCUGUUUGGACACAGUCUAGUUUCUAAGGUCAGUUAUCUUUUAUUAUCUGGCAGUAGAGGCAAACUAGGAGCUAAAAUGUCCUCACCAACCAGGAAAGGGUCUUUUCCACCCCCUUUCUUUGUUUGAGACAGAGUCUUCCUAAGUAGUUUAGGCUUGCCUUUAACUCACAGUGAUCCUUCUGCCUUAGCAUUCUGAAUGCUGAGAUUACAGAGAUAAAUUUCUGAGUCUUCUGUACCAGCACAAGAGACUGCUUGCAUCUAAGAAUUCCGAUCUUUGUGGGCUAGCAGAUGACUGAACAACUCAGAGGAUUACAAAGACAACACAGAACAUAAUAGUUUGUGCUGUUUUUCUAAUUUCAAAUGGAACUAUGUUCCAAAGUUUUUCUGUUCUAAUUCUUUAUGUGUCCUCCCCUCCCAACAGUCACAUGGUCUUGCUGGAAGCUAUGCAGGACCAGAGAUAAAUAAUUGUUCCCUCAGAGAGAUCCAUUUUUAUAUUCAGUAUAGCCUCAUGGUUUUUGUACUGAAUGCUUAUAUACUCAGUGUCUUAAGGAACAUGAAAUAUAAGAAAAGUCAGAAAUUAAUCCAGACAACUUUGACUACUCACCUGGUGAAUUAAUGUGAGAUGUCCUCUCAUUUGAGUAUUUCUCCUGCAUGGCCAUGUAAAAUUAAGGAAUAACUGUAAAAUUAAAGAAUAAUCCAUUAAA